rnacentral:lncRNA from 1 species
GCAGUGCUCCCUCAGUCCCUGGAGUUCCCAGCCAAGCCACAGACCUGCCUCUGAGGAAGGGAAUCGAGCAGGGAGUAGGAGGGGACCUCUGGGGACUCGGGCCUGGAGCUCCUGCCUGCCUGGAUGAAGAGGAGGUCAAGACUUUGUCCCCCACUCCGCAAGAUACCCUCUCUGUUCCGGAGCGGUGGGUCCCUCCCCUGUUAGGACCUUGUCUCCCUCAGGACUGGACCUGGAUCCUGGGCCUGCAGUCAGAUUGCCAGUUUCACUUAGAGGUGGAAAUGUCAACCCACUGGUUGGAAUGGGAAGCUGCUGUGUUGUGAGCCACCUUAUGGAAAACCCAUGUGGCAGAGAACCGAGGGUGGUGGCUGGCCAACAGCAAGCCAGGAGCUGAGGCCCACAGUCCAACAACUGAGACUGGGUCCCACCAUAUUGCCUGGGCUGGCCUCGGACUCUUGACCCCAAGUGAUCCUCUGGCCUCAGCCUCCCAAGCAGCUGGAUUUACAGGCAGGCACCACCGCACCGAGCUAAAAACGCCUGGCUUCCCUGGGCCUGCUGCACCUGCUCUGGCUAGGUUGGAGAGGGCUGCAGGGAGGACCGCAGUCAGCAGAGGGCGCCAAAGCCUCUCAACACAAGCAUGGCCCAGGCCUGGCCCAGAAGGAGAGCGCUGAGAGCCAGGACUGGCGGGCUACGUGCGCCCUGUGGAUUCCCCCAUUUCCCAUGCUUCAUCCAGCCAUGGGCCUGCAGUGCACUCACAAAUGUGCAUAUACCCUCCUGUGUGUGUGUUACACUCAUCAAAUUGUCUCUGAAUUUGCUUGGCUUCAUGUGUUCCUGUGUGUGUUUAUGUGUGUGUGUGGUGUGUCUGGUGUAUCUGGUUCCCCAGGAAGCACAUUUGACAGCCCCACAGUCAGGGUCAGGGCACAGGGACAGAUACUGUGUCUAUAACAAUCCAUAACACUGAUUUUGUUCAUCUCAAUAAAUGUGAGAAUGAAAUAAAAAUUAAUGUAGAAU